UACGGAGGGUGCAACCGUUGCUCGGAAUUAUUGGGCGUAAAGCGCACGUAGGCGGACCAUCAAGUCGGAUGUGAAAUCCCUCGGCUUAACCGAGGACGUGCAUUCGAUACUGAUGGCCUUGAGUACGAAAGAGGAUCGCGGAAUUCCCGGUGUAGAGGUGAAAUUCGUAGAUAUCGGGAGGAACACCAGUGGCGAAGGCGGCGAUCUGGGUCGAUACUGACGCUGAGGUGCGAAAGCGUGGGGAGCAAACAGG
rnacentral:rRNA from 1 species